rnacentral:rRNA from 1 species
UAGCUAGUUGGUAGGGUAAAGGCCUACCAAGGCGACGAUCGGUAGCUGGUCUGAGAGGAUGGCCAGCCACACUGGAACUGAGACACGGUCCAGACUCCUACGGGAGGCAGCAGUGGGGAAUAUUGGACAAUGGGGGGAACCCUGAUCCAGCAAUGCCGCGUGUGUGAAGAAGGCCUGAGGGUUGUAAAGCACUUUCAGUGGGGAGGAGGAUUAUUAGGUUAAGAGCUGAAUAAUUGGACGUUACCCACAGAAGAAGCACCGGCUAACUCCGUGCCAGCAGCCGCGGUAAUACGGAGGGUGCGAGCGUUAAUCGGAAUUACUGGGCGUAAAGGGUGCGUAGGUGGUUUGGUAAGUUAUCUGUGAAAUCCCCGGGCUCAACCUGGGCAGGUCAGAUAAGACUGCUGAACUCGAGUAUAGGAGAGGGUAGUGGAAUUUCCGGUGUAGCGGUGAAAUGCGUAGAGAUCGGAAGGAACACCAGUGGCGAAGGCGGCUACCUGGCCAAAUACUGACACUGAGGCACGAAAGCGUGGGGAGCAAACAGGAUUAGAUACCCUGGUAGUCCACGCUGUAAACGAUGUCAACUAGCUGUUGGCCUCAUGAAUGGGGUUAGUGGCGC